UUCUUUUCCACAUUUAGUGCUUCCUUCAGGAGCUUUGGUAAGGCAGGCCUGGUGGUGACACAAUCUCUCAGCAUGAUACUGGACAAAAGUCAUCUGUGGAUGGACACUUAGGUUGAUUAUACUACAAGACUACAGUAACUGAAACAGCAUGGUACUGGUACAAAAGUCAUCUGUUGAUAGACAGUUAGGUUGGUUCCAUAUCUUUGCUAUUGUUGAACCAACUUUGCAUCCUGGGGUAAAGCCUACUUGAUCUUGGUGGACAAGCUUUUUGAUGUGCUGCUGGACUUGGUUUGCCAGUGCUUUUCUGAGGAUUUUUGCAUCAAUGUUUAUCAAGGAUAUUGGCUUAAAGUUUUCUUUUUUGUUGUGUCUCUGCCAGAUUUUGGUACCAGGAUAAUGCUGGUCUCAUAGAAUGAGUUAAGGAGGAGUCCCUCCUCAUCAAUUUUUGGGAAUAGUUUUAGUAGGAAUGGUUCCAGCUCUUCUUUGUACAUCUGGUAGAAUUUGGCUGUGAAUCUGUCUGGUCCUGGGCUUUUUUUGGUUGGUAGGCUAGUUAUUAUUGUUUUAAUUUUGGAGCUCAUUAUUGGUCUUUUCAGGGAUUCAGGUUCUUUCUGGUUCAGUUUUGGGUGGGUGUAUGUAUCCAGGAAUUUAUCUGUUUCUCCUAGAUUUUCAAAUUUGUGUGCAUAGAAGUGUUUACAAUGUUCUCUGAUGAUUAUUUGUAUUUCUGUGGAGUCAGUGGUAAUAUCCCCUUUGUUAUUUCUAGUUGUGUUUAUUUGGAUCUUCUCUCUUUCUUCUUUAUUGGUCUAGCUAGUGGUCUAUUUUAUUUUAUUUUUUCAAAAACACAACUCCUGGAUUUGUUGAUCUUUUGAAUGAUUUUUUUUGUGUCUCAAUCUCCUUCAGUUCAGCUCUGAUUUUGGUUAUUUCUUUCUUCUGCUAGCUUUGGGCUUGAUUUGCUCUUGGUUCUCUAGUUCUUUUAGUUGUGAUGUUAGGUUGUUAAAUUGCUAUCUUUCUAACUUUUUGAUAUGGGUGUUCAGUGCUGUAAAUUAUCCUCUUGACACUGUCUUAGCUGUGUCCCAGAGAUCCUGGUGUGUUGUAUCUUUGUUCUCAUUAAUUUCGAAGAACUUCUUGAUUUCUAUGUUAAUUUCAUUGUUUACCCCAGAGUCAUUCAGGAACAGGCUAUUCAAUUUCCAUGUAAUUGUAUGAUUUUGAGCUAUUUCCUUAGUCUUGAUUUCUAACUUUAUUGCACUGUGAUCUGACAGAGUGGUUGUUAUGAUUUCAGUUCUUUUGCAUUUGCUGAGGAGUAUCUUAUGUCUGAUUAUGUGGUCAAUUUUAGAGUGUGUGCCAUGUGACAAUGACAAGAAUGUAUAUUUUGUUGUUUUUGGGUGGAGAGUUCUGUAGAUGUCUGUCACGUAUGUUUGAUCCAGUACUGAGUUUAGGUCCUGAAUAUCUUUGUUAAUUUUCUGCCUUGAUGAUCUGUCUACAGAUGCUCCCAUUCCAAACCCUCUGGGCUCUGUAUCGGCUGAUAUCCUUCCCCAUCGCUUCUCCAAGCAGGUUUCCCUGCCAACUCAAGUGUCUCUGGUGGUCAAGGGGUCUCCUGCUGCCAGGAUUCCAGAGGCCUGUGGUAAGAGUGGGUUGUUCCUUGCCAGUUCAACUCACCCAUUCCCCCAGAGUCACUGGGGGUCAGGAACAAGUACUGGUGCAUAGUAGCCCCUCCAGGGGUCCCAACUUCCUCCCUCUUCAGCCCGGCUUCUGUGUCUUCCCUCCGUCUGCUCUCAGUGCCUUCCCUCUGAAGAUCUGCUAGGACUGUGUGCCACUCGUCCUAGUCCCUUUGUGGCAGCUGUUUCACCUGGCUGUGUCUGGAUGGCUGUCUUGCCCAAAUCUCUCAAUAAUUUUCAAUGACCUGAUUUCAAGUUUGCCAAUUCCUUCUCCUGUCAGAUCAAGUCUGCUGUUAAACCCCUAUAAUGAAUUGUUCAGUUCAGUUUUUGUAUUUUUCUGCUAUAGAGUUUCUGUUUUUUUAUAUAGUUUAUUUAUCUUUGUUGACAAUCUUAUUUUGUUCACGCAUAAUUUUCCUGAUUUCUUUGGUUGCCUAUGUUAUCUUUUUAACAUAUUGAGAUCCUUGUGAGAGUUAUUUAAAAUCCUUGUUAAGCAGCUCAUAUAUCUGCAUUCGUUAGGGUUGGUUUCUGGAGUUUUAUUUUGUCCCUUUGAUUUAGUCAUGUUCCCCUGUUUCUUUGUAUGCCUUGUAAUUUUUUGCUGGGGUUUGAGCAUUUGAAAAAUACCCUCUAUCCCAGUUUUUAUAUUCUGACUUUGUACAGGAGAAGACCUUCUUUAAUCAGCCCAGCUGGAAGACCUCUCAAACCCUUCUAAUCUCUUACUCUCCUUGGAAUCUGCCUGCUGAACUGCGUUUCUAACAUUCCACUCACCUUUGUUUCCAGUGGCUUCUGAAUUCUGGUGUCUAUACUGUCAGCACUCUGAGUCAGGUGGUACAGAAAUGAGUCCUUUGGGCAGCCCUCAGACAAGCCAGAACAUUGGACUCAUGGUCUACUGUUUAUUUUCUGUCCCAAGGGAGGAGAACUCAUAUAGAGGAUUCCUUCCAGUUGCUCUGUGUGAUGCUGCAUAGAGGAAGGGGAACGAAUGUGUGUGACAAAUGCCGCAGAUUUUCCUACACCUUUCACUGGAAUUCCAUCUUUGUCUUACAAUAGCCUUAGUGCUAUAGAUUCUCAAUUGGUCUCCAGCAUUAUCACAGAGGUAUUGUGGUCCACAUAUUGUUGUUAAUUUGGUGUCUUUGUUGUGGAAGGAGAGCCUGUAGCUUCCUAGUCCAUCAUUUGCUGACCUGCACUUCUGCUUUUAAAGUGUAACUUUUUCCUCCAAAUCUCAAGCUCUGCAAUAUGCUUUGUGAAUUUCACCACUCUUACCUUGGAUGCACUAAUUUUGAUUAUUUCAGCACGUCUAUUUAAUCACUUUAAGUUGAACAAUUCCUACUGAUGGUUAUUUGCUACCAAAUCAUCCUGUUCUUGGUGGUGGACCUCAAGAUUUCUAAAAUAGAUUACUUUAAUUCCCAGAGCAUUAUUCUUUAAGAUGGACUCAAAGCUUAGUCUAUGUCAUAAACAGGUCUUUAUCUCUACAUACUAUAAGGCUAUGAGUUUAAAUGGAUAAUCUUUGCUGAUAAAAUUAACUUUGUUCUUACCAAAUUGUAGGAUUCUUAAUUAACAUACUUUAAUUUCAUUUUGUUUAAUAAAAAACAUUUUGACUUUAGCCACAGCUCUUCUACUGUACCAUAGGCAUUUUCUGUCAGUUAGUAGAGAAAAAGAGGUAAGAAUAAUUUAAGACUUUUUGUAGCAUGUAUUAAUCUACUAUUUGCCUUUUGGUCUAUGGAAAAGUGCAUAUGAUUUUAUGUUGGCUUGUUAAGUUCUUCUUUAAAGCUUUAUCACAAUAAGAAUCUAAUAGAUUAAAAAGAACUUUUCUUCCAUCCUUAACUAUUUGAAGUGUUACGACUUCACCUCUCCAUUUCAAUUAAAGCAGUCUGACAAAUUUUAAAUUAACUAGGUACACACCUAGUUACUGUAGCAAAAAUGAAAGCUGAGCAUCUUUCUUUACUGAAGGAAUGGAUUAUUGUCAGAGUCCACUGGGAGUUGUGUGAAUGAGCAAUUAAGCCUGUUGUCUAAUUGCUAACAGAAGGAAUGGUUAAGUAUCAAUUAUAGAAAAAAUAAAAUCAUCCCUUUAGGCACACUUUCCUCAGGACUCAGAUGGAUAAUGCUGAACAACUCUACUUAACAGUUUAAGUCAUUUAGUUAUUUGGGCGGCUAUUUUGUUCUGAAUGAUCUUUGGAAACCCAUCAGGACGAUGUGUUGCUUAAAAAUUAAGCAUUUUACAAAAUGACAUCAUUGUUUUAUGACAGGCAAAGACAUCUGGUGAUUGCUGCUACCAAAAUCUUCUAGGAUGUGGUGUUCUAUUCCAUGUUUUGUGAAGCGCAAUUUGGGGGUUGAACAGAUGCCAAGAUACAGGGUCUCAUUCUGUCAUCCAAGUUGGAGUGCAGUGGCGUGAUCACAGCUCAUUGUGACCUUGAAUUGUGGACCCAAGCAAUCCUCCUGCUUCAGCCUCCUGAGUAGCUAGGACUACAGGCAUGCAUGACCACACCUGGCUAAUUAUUCUAUUUUUUUUGUAGAGAUGAGGGUUUUGCUAUGUUGCCCAGGCUGGUCUAGAACUCCUAGCCUCAAGCAGUCCUCCUGCUUUGGCCUCCCAAAGUGCUAGGAUCCCAGGCAUGAGCUACUGCACCUGGCUGAGUAUUGUUGUUGUUAUUUUAAACAUUUUAUUUGGUCAUUUUGGAAACUUCAUGUCUACUACAUUUAUCAUUAUAGUUUGAAAAUCUUUACAUCUUUUAUAUAGAAAACAUUUUCUUUUUAAAAUACGAGGUUUAAAAUAUUUCAACUUAAGAAUAUAUUAAAACUAACCCAUAUUAUUAAAAUGAAAAUGAUAAAAAUAUCUAUGGGAACAUGGCCUGCAUUUUACCCAAGUGUAAUAUAACACAUUUUUUCUUUCUCUGUAGGAGGUGACUAAUACUAAUGGAGUUCUAGUUAUAUGCUAGGCACUGUGGAGGCCUCUUUAUUUUAUUGAUUCCUUAUCAUACUCUUUUUGGAGGUAUGCUAGAAGAGUCUUUGACAAUUCUACCUCUCAGACUAUAGGGUUUUCUUUACCAUUUGCCUUGUGAUAUUCCUUGGCUGCUAUAAGAACAUGGUGCUAGAAGGCUUGCUUUUCUAUUUUUCUUAAUGUAAACUUUACAGAUUUUAUCAAGUGGAGGAAAUGAAAUAAUGAGCUAUUUUCUGAUCUUUGUAUCUUCCACUAUGGUCAUGAUAAUUUUGACUUGCUUGUCACCAGUAAUAUUUUGAUUAAAAACUAAGGGAGCCUUCCUCUUAUUGCCCCAAAUUAGAAAGUAAAGUUUGUGGCUGGAUCUCAUCAUUGUCAAUCAUCUCAGUUUAAAAGAAGGCGGGCAGACCUGCCUGAGGGGAAGUAGCAAUCAAGUCCUAUUUGUAGAAAUUGUUUGUAAACAAACACUAUUUUUGUCUGCCUUCCUAGAAUGGGGGACAGGGUAUUUAUGACUCAGUAUAUAAAACAUUUUGAGGGAGGAAACUUCAGCCAUUGGGAACUAAAAAUUCAAUGUAUGUAUUUUUUGUGCUUAUUAAUGCUAUCUUGAAUGGAAAUGAAAAAAGAACUUUACUGAAAAAAUAACCUCAUAGAUAUGUCUCUUAAAAUUCUUAACUUUUCACUCACUGCUUUGUAAAAACUAAUAAUAAUUUAGGACUUGACAAAAGUAGAAUGAAAUCUCCCCAGACUUUAGCCAAAAUUUCCCCACGAACAGAGAUUCUUAAAUAUCUCCUUUUCACACAUGAGAAACCUGAUGUUCAGGAGAGUUAAGUUACUUGCCCAAUGUCUAAGGUUAGAAAUGGAAGUUGUGUCUGUUUCUUUCUACUAAGGCUUAGCUGCCACAUCUAUUCAUUUAAAUGCUGAAAAAGCUUGAUGUUCAUAUAAACUUCAGAAUUAUUAUAUACAUUUCACUUUCUCUCCGAGUUUCACUUAUAAUUUAGCAGGUUCUAUUGAAGAGCAUAGAAGACUAAACAAGUAAAAUGUGUGUUCCUAGGAAUCAUAGCUAGUGCCUACUUAUCUUUUACUUUUUAUGACUAUUAUAAGUUCAUAGAGAUAGAGAAUCUAAUACACAUGUAACUACGCCUCUAUUAAUUAUCACAAUGGGAUUGAAAGUAGUGAAAUAAAGACUAAAGCUUAUUUUUUUCCUAUGAAGAAAGCAUGUGCAUUGCUUGCUGUGUUCCACAUGGCCAAAUACACCUGAAAAACAAGUAUUUGAAAACAGGAAAACACAGUAAUAAUUCCUGAAACUGCCAUCUACUGUGUGUUGGACCAAUUUCUCUAUUAGUAGGAAAAUCAAGGACUUGGCUGGAAACCAUCCCAUGUGUUGGAAGGGCUUGAAGAAUUGAACAUCUCCAUUAGCAAGAAUCAGUUUCAAUGGAAAUCAGGGACUUGUUGAACCAUAAAGAAUUGUUGGCAUGAGAAAAAUGUUUAAGUAGUUUGAACAUUUGCCUGUUUCGUGCAAAAUGUCUGCGUGUGUGUGUUUCUUUAUCUUAUGGAAUGAGAAAUGAGUGAAAAGAAAAUUAUACUAUGAAUGGAAAAAAUGUGAAAACAAAAAAGGAAACAUUUUCAAUAUUUGCUGGGUUAAAAGUCAAAAACUCACACAUUAUGGAAUCUAACUUGCUAUAUGUCAUUGGUGCACAAUAGCUAGAAUUUAGUAGUAUUAAAACUAGUCCAUGAAAAAAGCAAUUUACCAAUAAUAUGAGGAAAAAGUAAACUGAGAGGAGAUUUUAUGAUUUAGGAGAGGUUAUAUGUAUAGUUGUAAAUCAUAAGUUAUAACAGGAAAGAGGGCUAUAACAUAAAUGAGCAAAUAAGCAAGACUUGAGUAUAUGAGAAAAGUAACUGGACAUAUUGUCUAUCUUGAAAAAUGUGCAAACCAGAAUUCUUGGUAUAAUAUUUUAAUGAGUACUCUGGAUUCUAAAGUAUUCUAACCAAAUUGUUAUUUUAUAGAAUAUCAAGGUAUAUCUUUGGUUAACUUUGUGUUAGAAUUCUAUGUGGAUGUCACCCAUUUUCUGGCACCUUUAAUGAAAUCUUCUAGACUUUCUUUCUGUAAAAUCUCAUUACUCUGACUAUUCCAAUACCUAUGUACAUAUGUAUGUAUGUAUGUAUCUCUAUCUAUCUAUCUAAUCUUCUGUCUAUACAUCCAUUCAUCUAUCUUCAUCUGCCCUCUAUAUAAUCUAUUUAUAUACACCCACACACCCACACAAAUUUUGGGUUAAUCUAUCUUUCAAACUUUCACUGUCUGAGCCUUUAAGCAUCAAAACUGUGGCUUGCCGUAUUGUUAAAUUCACUAGCCCUUAUGUUACCUGUCAUAUUAUUUAUUUCCAUUUCUAAAAGCUAUUCCUUUGGGAGUUAUAAAGGUUACUCAUCUUGGUUAAUUUUUGAGUACUUUGCCUUUCACUAAGGAACUAUUCUAUGGAAACCAUCACAAUCAGUUUUUAUUAUUGCUAUUAAGUUUAAAUAUUUAACCGAUUUUUUUUUUUGCUCUGCACUAUAUGAUGGAUGCUAGAUACUCAACAGACAUGGUCACUGCCCUCAGUUCUAUGAAAGACAAUUAGGAAAGGCUUCCCUAAAUUAGCAAGGUGAAGUGUUAGCACCUGGUAUGGAGAGGAAGAUGAAAGCAUUCUAGGCAGAGGGAAGUAACACAAAAUCUCUACUCCAGGAAAGAGUGUGGCAUAUUCUAGGAAUUAAAAACACAAUUUCUUAAAGAUCAAGAUUGAUCCCUAAUGUCAUUAUGAGAGACUGAUUUAUGUAAGCCAGAUACAAGAUACAAAACUUCAUCUCAUUAUUUCAUAAUCACACUCUUAAGACAUGAUUAAACAUUUUUUCCCAUAAACUACUAUUUUUCUAACCCUCAAAUGUCUUCCAUUUAUUAACAAUUUUGACUUUUGGAGAGUUAAACACAAGUAGAAUAUCAAGGAAUAUGGGAAUAAAAUGUUUGCAUUAAUAUAUUUGAUAAAGUGAUCUAGAAGUAUUAAUUUUUUUCUUACACAUAUAUUACAAUAAAACAUCCAAAUAAUGCAAAGGUGGAUAUAGCACAAUUGGUGAUUGACUCCUGUACUCUUUUUAUCCCAGUCUCUGUUUCUAAAAUAGGGAAGAGAGAGCUAAAGCUUCAUCUUCUGGGUGGUGGGUGAGGCAGGAUAGAGAAAUAGUAGAUAGUCCAGUCUCAGGAAGCUAGGAUAUGGCAGGUAGGUCCUUAUGUCCCUUUAUUUUCCUGGCUUAAUCUCUCCAACUUCCUUAACUGGGAGUUUCCUGGAUUCCCUAAUGCUGUUAUGGAAGUCCCAGCCAGGGAUUAAAGAGAAGAUAGCUCAGAUCUAGAAAUACCAUUAUCCGUUAGCCACAGCCCAGCUUGGGAGCGCCCAGAGAUUGUUGAGCUCUUUUAGAGGCACUACCAUAAUUUGCCCCAGUAAUUAGGACACUGUUGCUUCUUACUGUUACUAGUGGACUUGGGGCCAUUUCUCCUCUCUAAUUUCCCUCUGAAGCUGAUGGCCUUGUGAUAUUUCUGAGAGUUUUGAGUGAGAUGGAAAAUACAGAUAGCAGAGGCUCACAGAGAUGAAGUCUUGAUCUGGAACUGAGUUAUGAACUUAAGCUCACUUGACUUAACUGCAUUUAGCACAAAACAUUUAGAACAUCUACACAAAAUAGAGAGUUUGGAGUUAAUAAAUUAAAGCAAUACUAAAAGCCGUAUUUUUUGUACUACUAAAUUUUAAGUACUAGUCUAUCUGAAGUAUAAUGUCAAAUAUACUAGAAAAAGAGGAGAGUGGAUUUGAAUUUUAUUAUAUGUACUUUUUUACUUCUCAAAAAGAAAACUGACUUUGAAGUUCCUAAUUUUAGUUAUAUUUGUGGACAGCAAAAUGAUUUGAAAUUCUGCCUCACCUUGUUCACAGUAGAUUCCAGUGGUUCCUAGAGGACAGAAACAGGUGUAUCCAUGAGGUAAUGAAAUGCAGGUUGCUCCUCUGCUACAGUGGUGUGGAGGGUCAUGUUCAGGAUCACAGGUAGAAACUGUCUCUGUGCAGAAUGCUCCUUUCCACCCAGUGGUACAGUUGCAGCUGUGGGUUGAGAGAAAGCCACAUGGUUUGAGCACUUGUGUAGAGAUGGAUACAUACUAUGUAUUGCCCUGAUGCUAACUUGUCAAUUUUAACUGAAGUUCCAAGAGAUCAAAAUGAAUUGUGAUUCAAACUCUAAAUUGUCAAAGGAAAGAGUUAAUAACUGGUUAUAGGAUUACUGGACUCAACAUCAAAGACUUUAAACAAUUCAGAGUGUAAAAAUUGAAAGAGAAUUUUUUGAGAAUUGUUUCUUUGGACAAAAUUGCAUUGUAAGUCUCUCUCCCAACUCCCACACCACCACCUAAAGAAAAAGCUGUGCAUGGUGUUGUUGUCUCCUAACUUCAAGCCUAGUGAAAAGAGAUUCAGCAGGACCACUUGGAGAGCUUGGUAUGUUUUCCCUGGCAUUGGCAAACUCACAGGCUCAGCUCCUGGGGUUGCCAAAAGAGCUGCAAACAUGCUGGAGACGAGUCAAAUGUGAGUGAAUCCCAGGAAAGGGAUGUUCGUAGUCAGGAACAACAGCUUGAGGACAUAUAAAAAUGAAUCUUGACCAAGAGGUGUCCUUCUGGCUAAAGAUACCAUGGCAGUAAGUGGUUUCUGGCUAGAGCAGAAGCUGAGGGGUAAUGGGGAAUACUCAGCUGAAAGAGAGACCUUGUCUGGGUUUAGAGAGUAAUGUUGGGAGGAGCCCAACAGAAAACUUUUUGAUAGACCCAUCAAAGGCAGAGUUGUCAGAUAAAAUGCAGAGCAUCUAGUUAAAUUUAAACAUAAGUUAAAUAAAUAACUUUUCUUAGUAGAAGUAUGUCCUGAUAUGGUUUGGCUGUGUCCCCACCCAAAUCUCAUCUUGAAUUGUAGUUGGCAUAAUCCCCAUGUGUUGUGGGAGGGACCAGGUGGAGAAAAUUGACUCAUGGGGGAGGUUUCCCCCAUCCUGUUCUCAUGGUAAUGAGUUAGUUCUCAUGAGAUCUGAUGGUUUUAUAAGGGGCUUCAUUCUUCACGGGGCGCUCAUUCUUCUCCUUCCUGCCACCAUAUUAGGAAGGACAUGUUUGCUUCCCCUUCCACCAUGAUGUAAGUUUUCUGAGGCCUCCCCAGCCAUGCUGAACUGUGAGUCAAUUAAACCUCUUUCCUUUAUAAAUUACCCAGUUUCAAGUAUGUCUUUAUUAGCAGCCUGAGAACGGACUAAUACAUGUCCCAUGCAAUAUUUGAACUUUAAAUAAAUAAUAUUUGAGAUUUUAUUGUUAUAUCUUGUUAUAUUAUAUAUAUAGAGAGAGAGUUGAUAAAUUGUUGUUUGUCUGAAA